rnacentral:lncRNA from 10 species
ACCCCAGCCAGCAUGGCCGGCAGGAGCGCACCGCGCUGUCUCCCUCCAGGGAUCCGCACCGCCCUACAAUCCUGCUUUGUGCUGAGAUUGUAGUCCUGCAGGCGUACAACUAACAAGCUGGGUGCAGAUAAGAGACUACAGCUCCCCGCAUCCCAAGCAAAGGUCCCUCCUCUACGGAGCCCCUCCACGCGUCCACUGCGGUUCCGCCGUGCCAAGGGGAGCUUGGCUGUUCACGGGCCUCACCUGCUAGCGAGAAGAUAGCUUGGCCGGGCGGCUGAUCUCACCUUGUAAUUCUGACACUGUGUCUCCCGGGCUUGUCGGCUUCAUGACUUGUGCCCAAAGUUUGAUUUCUCGCAGACCAGGAGGACCCAUUGGACCCCCGGGCUGGCUGCAGGGCCCACACCUGGGUUAGACCUCGCACAGGGACGCUGCUGCCACUGUAAUAAAGCGUGCCUACACGCUUCUGAAACUGGUGUAGGAACAACCUCAGUUCUGUGAAAGGCGGACGCAGCAGGACAGAAUCUCCGUGGACAUCUGUCUGGAGGAGCAAUUUUACUGCGACAUUUUAAAGAAACAAAUUUAAUUGAUUUCCAAGGGUGUCCAUCGCGCUUCCUUCACUGCCUUGAUCAUGUCGGGGUCACCACCUGCGGGGGUUUGUCCUGCAGACCCUGACUCAACGACGGAUGAAUAAUGUACACUGACACAGAUCUUAUGCUUGUCAGUCCUGCUGAGCAUCCAGGCCACUUACAGACUCCAAGAAGAGUCCUGUCAGCCACGGCUCUGACUUGUUGGCCCUCCCGGCAUUUAUUUAGCACACAUUUAAUGACAGAAGUCUCAGGCUGGAAACACUCUUUUUGUAGAACAUACAAAUGGACAUUUCUAAGCACAUUGAGGCCUAUAAUGAAAAAUCAAAUAUCCCACAAUGAAAACUAGAAGGAAGCUAUCUGUGAUAAUGCUUUGUGGUGUAUGGAUUCAUCUCACUGACUGAAACCUGAGUUUUGAUUCACCAGGUUGGAAACACUUUUUUAGUAGAAUCUAUGAGAAAAUCUUUGUGAACCCAAUGAGGACUCUGUGUGUGUGUUU